UGAUACUCCAACCAACUGAGCUACCAGUCCAGGGCCAUAGGUCUCAUUCUUAAUAGGAGAAAAAUCUAUAAGCAUGUAGGAAUAUAUUUAAUAUAAGACAUGCAAGACCUUCAUGGAGAAAAUAAGACAUUGUUUAAGGACAUAAAAGAAGACCUAAAUGAAAGGAUAUACUAAUAUACUACAUUCAAGGAUGAGAACAACUAAUAUUGUAAAGAUGCAUAUUGCCCCCAGAUUAAUCUGAGUUUAAUGCAAGAAUCUGACAAUUGAUGCUAAAAUCCAUCUA